rnacentral:rRNA from 1 species
UACAGAGGUCUCAAGCGUUGUUCGGAAUUACUGGGCGUAAAGGGUGCGCAGGCCGCGCGGGCAGUCAAAUGUGUAAUCCAGGGGCUCAACCCCCUGAACUGCGCUUGAUACUUCCGCGCUCGAGCUUUGGAGAGGAGUCUGGAAUUCUCGGUGUAGCAGUGAAAUGCGUGGAUAUCGAGAAGAACACUUAGGCGUAGGCAAGACUCUGGACAAAUGCUGAC